CAAAGAGAGCGUCUAGGCUGAAAGUAACAAACGUUUGCUGUACGAAUCUGUACCUCCGGCAUCAUUUUAGCUGUUUUUAGUCAGAACUGCGACAAUUUAGUGCAAUCAGAAAGUUUUCUCUGCUAUAAGGUACUCUUCGGCGUGCUGUCCGUUGCCGCCCUCGGCUCCUGCGGCAUCUUCCACGGCGAGCUCAGCCCCCCGGCCGCCGGCCUGCCCUUCAGCUCGGGCUACGCCCCCUCCGCCCCCAGCGUGCCCCUCGGCGCCG
rnacentral:misc_RNA from 1 species